CUGGGGCUCCUCGUCUGCCGCUCAGUCUCUUUUCUUGUGGAAAGCGAGGACAAGCGCACUCCAGGUCGUGGUCGUCUCUGCCUGGCUCGGUGCACGCUGCGGUCGCUCUCUGACCUCUUCGAAGCGCGGGACUGGCAGUUCCUGGGUGUGGCCUCUGCGGCGCUCUGGGGCUCCCCGCCCCCGAGAGCUGAGGUACAAAAGACCUUCGCACAACAGCGUCCCCCCCGGCCCCGUAGUGCCCAAAAGAGUUUUCUGUCCGUGGAUACUUCUCCGCUGAGGGAACAAGGAAGUUUGUUUUUAAUUAUCUGAUUUAAAUCUGAAAAGCAUUUCAUGGCCACACCAAAUCCACCCCCACUGUGCUGCGGAGAUUGUGAGACUGGGACCUGGAAGACUUGGAGUUUGUCCUUCCUUUGGAAUCCGGGGUCACCGCGGUCACGCCUACCU